GACAGAGGGUGCAAACGUUGUUCGGAAUUACUGGGCGUAAAGCGUGCGCAGGCGGUCUGUUAAGACCGAUGUGAAAUCCCCGGGCUUAACCUGGGAACUGCAUUUGUGACUGCAAGGCUAGAAUCUGGCAGAGGGGGGUAGAAUUCCACGUGUAGCAGUGAAAUGCGUAGAUAUGUGGAGGAAUACCGAUGGCGAAGGCAGCCCCCUGGGCUAAGAUUGACGCUCAUGCACGAAAGCGUGGGGAGCAAACAGG
rnacentral:rRNA from 1 species